GACGAACGCUGGCGGCGUGCUUAACACAUGCAAGUCGAACGGAAAGGCCCUGCUUUUGUGGGGUGCUCGAGUGGCGAACGGGUGAGUAACACGUGAGUAACCUGCCCUUGACUUUGGGAUAACUUCAGGAAACUGGGGCUAAUACCGGAUAGGAGCUCCUGCUGCAUGGUGGGGGUUGGAAAGUUUCGGCGGUUGGGGAUGGACUCGCGGCUUAUCAGCUUGUUGGUGGGGUAGUGGCUUACCAAGGCUUUGACGGGUAGCCGGCCUGAGAGGGUGACCGGCCACAGUGGGACUGCAAUACGGCCACAACUCCUGCGGGAGGAAGAAGUGGGGAAUAUUGCACAAUGGGCGGAAGCCUGAUGAAGCACCGCCGCGUGCGGGAUGGCGGCCUUCGGGUUGUAAACCGUUUUCGCCUGUGACGAAGCGUGAGUGACGGUAAUGGGUAAAGAAGCACCGGCUAACUACGUG
rnacentral:rRNA from 1 species